rnacentral:misc_RNA from 1 species
GAUGAAGAACGCAGCGAAAUGCGAUAAGUAGUGUGAAUUGCAGAAUUCAGUGAAUCAUCGAAUCUUUGAACGCACAUUGCGCCCCUUGGUAUCACGAGGGGCAUGCCUGUUCGAGCGUCAUUUCACCACUCAAGCCUGGCUUGGUGUUGGGCGACGUCCCCUUUGGGGACGCGCCUCGAAACGCUCGGCGGCGUGGCACCGGCUUUAAGCGUAGCAGAAUCUUUCGCUUUGGAAGUCGGGGCCCCGUCUGCCGGAAGACCUACUCGCAAGGUUGACCUCGGAUCAGGCAGGGAUACCCGCUGAACUUAAGCAUAUCAAUAAGCGGAGGA